rnacentral:rRNA from 1 species
GACCCCGCACAAGCGGCGGAGCAUGCGGCUUAAUUCGAUGAUACCCGUAGAACCUUACCUGGACUUGACAUAUAGGGAAAAGCUAAAGAAAUUUAGUGUGCGUAAGCGCCCUAUACAGGUGGUGCAUGGCUGUCGUCAGCUCGUGUCGUGAGAUGUUGGUUAAGUCCCGCAACGAGCGCAACCCCUGUCCUAUGUUGCCAGCGUGUAAUGACGGGGACUCUAACGGAACUGCCGGUGCAAACCGUGAGGAAGGUGGGGACGACGUCAAAUCAUCACGGCCCUUACGUCCUGGGCCACACACGUGCUACAAUGGUAGGUACAGAGGGAAGCCACCCCGCGAGGGGGAGCGGA